rnacentral:rRNA from 1 species
AUUGAACGCUGGCGGCAGGCCUAACACAUGCAAGUCGAGCGAGCGGCGGACGGGUGAGUAAUGUAUGGGGACUGCCCGAUAGAGGGGGCUAACUACUGGAAACGGUAGCUAAUACCGCAUACUAUCGGAUAACCCAUAUGGGUUUAGCUAGUAGGUGAGGUAAUGGCUCACCUAGGCGACGAUCCCUAGCUGGUCUGAGAGGAUGAUCGGCCAAGCUGGGACUGUGACACGGCCCAGACUCCUACGGAGGCAGCAGUGGGGAAUAGUGCACAAUGGGCGAAAGCAUGAUGCAGGCAUGCCGCGUGUAUGAAGAAGGCCCUAGGGUUGUAAAGUACUUUCAGUAGGGAGGCGUUACCGACAGAAGAAGCACGGGCUAACUCCGAGCCAGCAGCCGCGGUAUUC